rnacentral:rRNA from 1 species
UACGUAGGGUGCGAGCGUUAAUCGGAAUUACUGGGCGUAAAGCGUGCGCAGGCGGUUGUGCAAGACAGAGGUGAAAUCCCCGGGCGUUAACCUGGGAAUGGCCUUUGUGACUGCACGGCUAGAGUGUGUCAGAGGGGGGUAGAAUUCCACGUGUAGCAGUGAAAUGCGUAGAGAUGUGGAGGAAUACCGAUGGCGAAGGCAGCCCCUGGGAUAACACUGACGCUCAUGCACGAAAGCGUGGGGAGCAAACAGG